rnacentral:rRNA from 1 species
UGGGGAAUUUUGGACAAUGGGCGCAAGCCUGAUCCAGCGACGCCGCGUGUGUGAAGAAGGCCUGCGGGUUGUAAAGCACUUUCGAUGGGAACGAAAUGUGCCGGGUUAAUACCCCGGUAAGCUGACGUUACUCAAUGAAGAAGCACCGGCUAACUCUGUGCCAGCAGCCGCGGUAAUACAGAGGGUGCGAGCGUUAAUCGGAAUUACUGGGCGUAAAGCGCACGUAGGUGGCGACGUAAGUCGGGUGUGAAAGCCCCGGGCUCAACCUGGGAAUUGCAUUCGAGACUGCAUUGCUGGAGUACGGAAGAGGAGGGCGGAAUUCCCGGUGUAGCGGUGAAAUGCGUAGAUAUCGGGAGGAACAUCAGUGGCGAAGGCGAGUUACUGGGCUGACACUGACGCUGAGGCGCGAAAGCUAGGGGAGCGAACGGGAUUAGAUACCCAGGUAGUCCCUGAGCGGGCUGGCAAGGCGCAU